UAGCCCACUCCACCUCUGAGAAAAUGGAAAACCGGGAGCAAUGACCUCAAAAACAACUUCCUCCUUCAAACGCAAUUUCUUGUCCGCCUAAACCUUUACAGCAGGGCAGGUGGUGUGAGUUUUACCGAAGAGUCUUUCAAAGCAGGAACGCUGGCCUGCAGAACUUAAACAUUCCU
rnacentral:lncRNA from 1 species